UACGAAGGGGGCUAGCGUUGCUCGGAUUUACUGGGCGUAAAGGGCGCGUAGGCGGAUGUUUAAGUCGGGGGUGAAAGCCCGGGGCUCAACCUCGGAAUUGCCUUCGAUACUGGACAUCUUGAGUACGGGAGAGGUGAGUGGAACUCCGAGUGUAGAGGUGAAAUUCGUAGAUAUUCGGAAGAACACCAGUGGCGAAGGCGACUCACUGGCCCGUUACUGACGCUGAGGCGCGAAAGCGUGGGGAGCAAACAGG
rnacentral:ncRNA from 3 species